CCUAGGCAUGUCAUCCACCAUUCCUGAGGCCUAUAUCCAAUGUUAGUUGAUGCGACGACGCAACCAUAAGAUCCAAAAAAAAAUAUAAGUUGUAGUUGAAAGAUCUCCCGGACCCCGUGGUAGCCGGAAGUGUAAGGGGUACGAGGAGACGACGGUGAAGAAGGGGCGGAUCAAUGAUCAAGACCUGGUACACGCGCGGAUGAUUUGAGUGAAGACUGAAAAGGGGUUUAUAUUCCAAGUUCCAGAUGUUAGUGAAGAGACUUUGGCUUACCUGAGCUGUGGAAAUGUGAGAGUGAUGAGGGGAUGGCAGUGCACUGCCACCCAAUAUCGAGCAGUGCUGCAAGUUCUCUUCAGCAAAAUCUCUCAACUUGUUGAGCUCUGGCAAAACAACCUUGCCGAGAUCCGGCCGGUCCUUCCGUCUCAUCUCAGCACAUUGGAGAGCUAUCUGUGCGAGGGACAAGGCCUCCUCAACGGGCCAGUCAGUUGCAGAAGCACGAUUCCGAAAGAAUAUACGUCAGAUUUCACGCCUAGCAUCCCUGUUUGCUGAUACUCCGGAUCGAUGUAGCAGAAAGUGCCUGCGGUCGAUGUCAUUCGGUACUGUGUUACAGUUUCA